UGGAAUUUACCAUGUAGGACAAACAGG
rnacentral:piRNA from 1 species